AAGUGUUACAGCUCUUUUAGAAUUUGUCUAGCAGGUUGUCCAAAUUUUGUUGGAAAAAACCGUU